CAUGAAUAUUCUGCAGAGUAUCUCGAUAAAAACGAUCUACUCCCCCCCCCUUUAAUACAGUGAGGCCCUGCAGCUUAAAGUCCCUGAAACUAUGAAUUGCCUUCUUUGACCUGGAUUUAGUCUUCUCCUUGUGUCUGUUUGAAAUCUGCACAUUGUGUGUUUUAUUUUUAUUUUAUCUGACCUCAGCUGGUUUGCUUUCACAGGGCUGCACGGUGGUGCCCCCCCCCCCCUUCUGUGUGGAGUUUACAUGUUCUCCCCGUGCAUGCGUCAUGCUUCCUCCCACAGUCCAAAGACAUGCUCGUUAGGUAAUUUGGUGUCCAUAAAUUGCCCGUAGGUGUGAGUGUGAAAGACUGUCUCUCUCUGCAUGUCAGCCUGUGAUUGACUAGCGAGCAACGAGGCCGCCUGUAAGGGGGAAAGAGGGGAAAGCUUUGGGGCCCCCGGAGGUAAACCAAAAACAUGGUCCAUCCUAAACUGAAGCAAUGAUCAACACAUUUUAUUUUAAACCUCAAAACUCAACAUAGCUUCUUAAAGCCUUUUUUAACCCCCCACUUUUUAAAAUUCCAGGGCGUCCCCCACCUCACGCCCAAUGACCCCGAACAGGACAAGCAGUAUAUAUAGUAGAUGGAUGGAUGGUUUGCAUUCCCCUCCUUGGAACUAGCUUUGAAUCUCAGGAACUUCAGAGUCCAAUGAAGGUAAAUUCUAAACAUGUAAUAAUCAUUUUCUAGGUGUGUAUUUCCUUCUUGUUUUUUCCCCUUGGUCAGUGCGGACGAGAUGUCAAAUAAACAGUUAUUUUC